GAUGGUUAACCAGAAAAAUACAAGAUUCAGUAACAACGAAAGAAAUUAAAAGAUUGGUAUUAAAUAUAUUAAACUUUACAUUUAUAAUUGAAGUGAUAAAGACUAAUAAGAAUGGUGUUGCAGACUACUUAUCAAGACAAAGCUACUCAGACUGAGAACAAAGACGAAGAUACAAUUGAAAAGCUACUCAAAGCCAUUACUACACUUUGUACUAAAGUGGAUAGUACGGACAAUGAGAUACAAAAGGUAAAGACCAAUGAAGAUAACCUGAAGUCUAAAGCUAAUAUAAGUCAGCAGCAUGACUAUAAAAAUGCGAAGCUACGUCGAUCGGAAGACAGUAAAAAUCCUGAGAUAAAAGGAGACGAUGGAAAACUCCCUAAAACCCAUAAUGUUUGUUUAAAUACAACUGCAGGUACAAGCAGAAAAGUUAGUGAAAAACCACGAAAUACAAAUUUAAACCAGUUAUUUGCAAAACCAUUUAUUCAAAAUACACCAAAACAAAUACCCAUAGAACCACAAACUUCUACCUAUGCAGUGAGUAUACAAAACCAGAGUGAAAAGAAAAGAUACAAUUAUAUUACACAAACCUACAUUGAAAAUAUAUAUAGAAUCAGAACUUAUUUAAAUUUCAACCCCAGAUCUAACCAAACCAAAGAUCCAAGUCAAGACUAUAUAACUCAAAAAUAACGAGGAUACAAUAGACUUAUAGCACAAUCAAAGAUUAGUGCUAAUCUAGUUAAGACAUGUUACAGUUAUGGAUUACUAAGUACAUUAUAUACAUUUGAUGGAGAAGAAAUCAGUGGAAUACCAGAGUUAUACAAACGUUUUAUUACAUAUAAAAGAGUUACAAUAGGAAACUUAUUUUAUAUUAAGUUUUAUACAGCACCAGCAGAAAUAUUAUAUGAGGAGGUAAAAUCUCCAAUUCAAGUUAUUAAGAUAGGAUUAACAAAAGAUAAGAUCAUACCAGAAGAUGUUGGACAUCAAAAUGAAAUAUCAAAGAUAGAAAUACCAUGUUUUUAUGCCAAUAAAAGAAUAAUUGGUACAUCAACUAUCAUACAAGAGUUAGCAACUAAUUCUAUAAAUGGAAAUGCCAUAUGGAGCUAUUAAGCUAGAGAUCAAGUUAUGAUAUAUUCAAACUCAAGGGAAUUAAGAAUAGCAGAUAUGGAUGAAGUUUAGCGAUGGAUUUUAUCAAUACUAGAGCCAGAGAAACAACCUACAACACGAGCAUUAAAGAAAGAAUUUAUUUGAGAAAACUUAUUAAUGAGAUAUUUUAAACUUAUUGGACAUAAAUACCCAGAUCAUAGAUUUUCCAAAUGCAAUGGAGAAGAUAACGUUAUACCAGAUAUUGAUUUGGAAUAAAGAUGAAGAGAUAAGAAUGUAAAAUAAGAUAAAGGAUGAAGAAAAAGAGUUAUAGUAGACAAACAAAA
rnacentral:lncRNA from 1 species